UACGUAGGGUGCGAGCGUUAAUCGGAAUUACUGGGCGAAAGCGUGCGCAGGCGGUGAUGUAAGACAGGUGUGAAAUCCCCGGGCUUAACCUGGGAACUGCAUUUGUGACUGCAUGGCUGGAGUGCGGCAGAGGGGAUGGAAUUCCGCGUGUAGCAGUGAAAUCGUAGAUAUGCGGAGGAACACCGAUGGCGAAGGCAAUCCCCU
rnacentral:rRNA from 1 species